rnacentral:ncRNA from 1 species
CUGGGUAUCUGUUGAGUCAGAUUUAAUAGGGAACACGGGUGAGAUUCCCGGACAGUCCCGCUGCUGUAUUUCUCCGGAUACCGUUUCAGGAUGAGCAGUCGCUCCCAUGACUGCAAAAAACGCCACUGACCGAUGGGUCGGGAAGGUUCCUGAGACAGGAGAUUAGUCAGAAGACCUGCCCAGAAUUC